GAGCCAGCCGCCGAAGGUGGGGUAGAUGAUUGGGGUGAAGUCGUAACAAGGUAGCCGUAUCGGAAGGUGCGGCUGGAUCACCUCCUUU
rnacentral:rRNA from 1 species